rnacentral:rRNA from 1 species
GACGAACGCUGGCGGCGUGCUUAACACAUGCAAGUCGAACGAAGUGGCGAACGGGUGAGUAAUGCGUAAUCAACCUGCCCUUCAGAUGGGGACAACAGUUGUAAACGACUGCUAAUACCGCAUACUGAAGGAGGGGCUUGCAUCUGAUUAGUUAGUUGGAGGGGUAACGGCCCACCAAGGCGAUGAUCAGUAGCCGGUGUGAGAGGAGGAACGGCAACAGUGGGACUGAGACAAGGCCCAGACUCGUACGGGAGGCAGCAGUGGGGAAUCUUCCGCAAUGGACGAAAGUCUGACGGAGCAACGCAGCGUGAGUGAUGACGGCCUUCGGGUUGUAAAGCUCUGUUAAUCGGUACGCGGUACCGGAAUAGAAAGCCACGGCUAACUACGUGCCAGCAGCCGCGGUAAUAC